GCUUUUUUCAUGGGCUUCUGGAAUAUCAUUUUUCUCAUAGUCCUCCAGUUUUCUCCAGCUGCUCUUACUUUAUAUCUAGUCUUGGAAGUACUGAUUAUCUGCUCGUUCAUCUCUCUCUUACCUUAUGUACUUCCCUGUGUGAUCUCAUCUAUUCUCAUGAUUUUAAUUACCAUACAUGCUGUUGACAACCAAACCUGUUAUCUCUAACCCAGACUUUUUUAUUUGUUCAUUCACAUUUCUUUUGUUUGGAUUUUAGAUUUCUUUUAUAUGUUUUAUUUAUACACUUAUUUUUAAUUUUAUUACUUGAUUGUGUCUUUUAAAGAGAUAGCAUAGGCAAAAUAGCAGGAUUAAAAUUAAACUUAACAGCUCAUAUUAUCUCAUGCCCAAUCCAUAUUCAAAUUUGAACUAUUCUUUAAUAAACUUGUAUCCAAUCCAGAAUCACUCUUUACAUCUGGUUAUUUCCAGGAAGUCUCUUUUAUUCCAAAACAGUUUCUUUUUCAUGAUUCUGAAUUGUUGGAAAAAAAUUGUCCAUAAAAAUAUUCCCCUUUCUGGAUUAAUGUGGUUACUUCUUAAGGUGUUUAACUUUAAUUCCUAGAAACUGAAAUAUGGUUCUACAACCUUCAACUUGAUGAAUACUAAUUAAAUAUUUGUGUACAUAAGUAUUUAUAUUAAACCACAUUAGGAGCACAGAAUAUGCUGUUGUCCCACCAUGAAUGAUGCAAAGAUUUAACUCUGUGUUAGGGUGAUGACAGUCUGCUCGCUCCACUGUAUAGUUAACUUGUACUCCCCAAAUUGGCCGGUGUUUUUUUUUAGUGUUUGUCCUAUGCCAAGUAUUCUUCAGAGCUCAAGCCGUACUGGGUAUUCUACCUAUAUACUCAUGUGUUUUCAGAUGACAAGAGAAAAUCCUAGAGUACAUUGUUUAAAAAGCAGUGUGACAGUAGUUUCCUAGAAAGAAGCAAAUCUAAGAAGAGCACAAAGCUUUGAUUAUCUGCCCUGCUAGUGGUAAAUCCUUGGUUGCAUAGAGAGAAACUAAUCACAGAAGGUAGUAAAACUUAGGAAUAAUUUGGAUGUAUUUCUGUUUUUUGUUUGUUUGUUUGUUUUUUUAGUUUUGAUGGACACUGUACCUUUAUUUUAUUUAUUUAUUUUUCGUAGUACUGAGGAUCGAACCCAGUGCCUCAUACGUUUGAGGCAAGUUCUCUGCCACUGAGCCACCACCCCAGCCCCUAACUUGGUUGUAUUUCUAAUGAUAUAUAUUUUGCAACUGUAAAUCUUUGUUUUGAUAUAUUUUUCAGUGCUAGCAUCAGGAUGUAUUAAGAGUACAGGCUUCAGAAUCAGACAGGCUUUAGAAUCUCACUCUACACAACUAGUAAAUUCUAUGACCAUGGGCAAGGCACUAAAGUUAUACUGUACAUUUACAGAGUAGGAAUAUGGUUUAAGAGAGAAAUGUUUGCUAUCAAAUAGUUUCUUUUUUAAACAUAAUUAAAAAAAAUUUUAAAC
rnacentral:lncRNA from 1 species